UUUCAAAAAUAGUACGCUUCAGCACAGCAGCGAACCGGUACAGCCGCGGCGGCGGGCGGGUACGGAGAGUUCGAAACAUGGUUCGCUACGGAAAUAAAUAACUGGACCGGGAGACGAUAUUAUUUAAACCAAAGAGGAGGCUUCAAAACACGACGAAAAGUAGAAGCGGGUAUUUCCAGGUAGAAGAAAACUGGGUUGCAGCUAGCUGAAGUCAGUGCCACACGUUUCAGUGUUGAUGUUGGUAUUUGGCCACGAAUAACGUUAACGUUACCUGCCGAAAAUAGUCACGACGUCCUAUAUUGAGGCUCCUCUGUCCUGUGUGACCCCCUGACACAGAGAGGAUGGUGAUGGAGGAGGGGGGACAGAGAGACAGAGGGAGGGGGACUCCAGCGACACCAGGAGCAGAGGGGAGACAGAUCUUUGUGGAGAUGGGGGAGCAGAACUUCGAUGGUAUUUGUCUCUCUACAUAUCGAACAGCCUGCAAGCUCAGAUUCAUACAGAAGAGAUGCAACUUACAUCUGAUCGACAUAUACAACGUGAUUGAGGCGGUGCGGGACGCUGGUCUGAACGCCGUAGAGCUGAACGCUGGCAUCUCUGUGACCAGACUGGAGAACCUGGUGUCCUCCCUGUUCAACCAGCUCAGCAAGCGCCUGCCCACAACACACACCAUCAACCCGCGAGAGAGUACCGUCCUAUUAGUCGAAUUCUUACUUGCUGCCAUUGACAGUGAGCCAAAUAGCCGUCUGACGGUGCUGUCUGUGAAGGCAAUGCUGGCCACACUGUGUGGAGGGAAACUGGUAGAUAAACUCCGCUAUGUGUUUUCUCAGGUAUCUGACUCCAGUGGCGUGUUGGUACAGUCCAAGUUUGAUGGUUUUCUGAGGGAGGCUCUCAGGCUGCCCACCGCUGUACAUGAAGGGCCGUCCUUUGGCUACACACACACCUUAGCACGCUCGUGCUUCCCACAACAGAAGAGGGUGAUGCUCAACAUGUUCCUGGACAUCGUAGUUGACCCUCCUCAGUGUCUUGUAUGGCUGCCUCUCAUGCACCGCCUGGCCAAUGUGGAACAUGUUUAUCAUCCUGUGUCAUGCUCCUUCUGUCGUGGAAACGGUAUGACAGGCUUCCGCUAUCGCUGCCUCCGUUGCCGUGGUUACCAGCUCUGCCAAAACUGCUUCUGGCGCGGCAACGCCAGCGGCUCUCAUAGCAACCAGCAUCAGAUGAAGGAGCACUCGUCCUGGAAGUCACCGGCGACAAAGCUUGGCCGAGCCCUGAGCAGGACUUUGGGCUGUGUGUCGUCCAGAGAGCCCCCUCAUCCAAUUUACCCAGAGGAACCUGAGAGGACCCUAAACCUCGCCAACAUAGUCCCAUCUCGCCCUGUUAGGAACACCAGUGAGGCCAUGUUGCUGUCCUCAUCAGUGCCCGAGUCCUCCAAGAGUUUGGCAGCCGCUCAGCGCAUGAACGAGGAACACGCUCUAAUCGCUGCGUAUGUGAAUCGCCUCCAGAGCAGCCCAUGUAGUGUGGACAGUCCCAGCAGACAAGAUGAGGAGCACAAACUGAUCGCCCGCUACACCUCCCGACUGGCAGAGACUGACGGUGCAGGAAUGAUACCUAACCGAAGCAUCAACUUUGAUGUGAACAAACAGAAGAGGGAGCUCAUUGCUCAGCUGGAGUGCAAAAACAGAGAGAUCUUGGCAGAGAUCAGACGUCUCCGUGUAGAGCAUGACGCAGCGUGCCAGGCCAGCCCGGAGAAAGGCAGCACCAACCCAACUCUUUUGGCUGAGCUUCGUCUGCUCAGACAAAGGAAAGAUGAGCUGGAGCAGAGGAUGUCGUCUCUGCAAGAGAGCAGGAGGGAACUGAUGGUACAGCUGGAGGGACUGAUGAAGCUGCUGAAGGAUGAGGAACAACGACAGGCAGCGCAGGCGGCUGGCUCUUCUCAAGCCUCUCCUUCUCGACCGAGUCCAUCAACCGUCCGCGGUGUGGGUGCUGCAUCUCCCCAGGGUCACAUGUACCCUCAUCAAGAUUCACUCGCUGGGGUGGGUGGUGACGUACAAGAAGCAUUCGCCCAAGGCCCGAGAAGGAACCUGAGGAACGACCUUCUGGUAGCAGCUGACUCCAUCACCAACACUGUGUCCUCACUGGUCAAAGAGCUACACUCUGAUGAUGCUCGGGAGGAAGAGGAGAGAUUGCUCAACGGGAAGGACAGAGCGACGUCAUGUAAAUCCCAGCAGAGCUUUACACAACUCCAACCUGAGUCGGACUGAUCAGCGACGUAACUGAAAACACCUGUGUGGCAGGUUAAAAAUGGUCGCAGGACAAACAAAAACAGCAGAGUGGUGUUUCAUCACGGCCAAAGAUGACUGACCCGUCUUCGAUAUUCACCAAUAGCCAAUGGGGAUUAGAACUCCACUGCUAAUCAACCAAUCACAAUGCUGGACACCAAAUGGCCGCUGGGUUCCUACUGAUGUAUAGCUGUGAUUCUGUGUGUGUCUUGUCACUGUGGUUUUACUUAAGUUCUGAUCGUGCAUAGCUAAACGAGGAAUCUGAAACCUACUGAUUUGUACUGUAGCGCUGGCGUGUGUGUGUGUGUGUGUGUGUGUGUGCGCUCUGCAUUGUCAAGGUGCGAGAGGGUCGAGUAAGUGAGAGGGACACGAAAGAUAGAAAAGAGACGAAAAAAGAUGGGUUUUAGCAAAUUUGUAUAGGAUUAAAGUUUAAGGAUGGAGAUACAGGUUGUAUGGAGGAGAAAAGUGGAUGAAAAACGAAAUGAAAAGAAAGUUAAACAGAUGAGAAGUGAGAUGUAACGUUAUAAGUUUCGGCACUGUGUGCUUCGUAUUUAUUGCUUUUGAUUUUUGCCAUUUAUUCAUUCAGUUUGAGUGUUUCUGUGUAUGUGCAUGAGGGUGGUCAGGCCCUGCUGAGAUGCUGAGCUUUAAUGGAUGUUUCCUUCUGUAUCAAGCCCUGCCUGCCCCCUGUUGUAGUGAUGCAGGGUGGAAAGUUAAAGCCUCGUCCUGCUCCAGGUGUCUGAAACCUGGAUGAGAUUAGUGUGAUGGGUGCUGGUGUGAUAGCAGCUCAGGUUGUCCAGGAAUAUAUGUGUAUAUCUGUACUGCAGUGAGACUCCAGUCAAAGAGGGAGAUACCUGAUUAAUGUUGUGAAUAUGUGUUCGUGUUUGUGUGACAGAGAGGGAGAAUAUAAAGUGUCAGUGUAGGAACAGAGCAGCAAAGUGGGCUCUAAAAGUAUUUAUCCCCAACAAUGUUCUUUUAAAGAGUCAGUUUACCCAAAAUACAAUUUUUUUUUUUUAUAGCUUAGUAUCCCAUGAUAAAGCUGAGGGUUCACAAGUUUAUUGAAGUAAUAACGAAGGAAAAUCAUUCUUUUAUAGUGAAUUUAUUUUCUUACUUUCACCUCUUCAGGACUCAAAAAAUCCUGAAGAGGUGUCCACAUAAAUUUUUUGUGUAGCAAAUAAUUUAUUGCAUUUCGAUAGAAGAACACACUUUUAGUUCCAGUAAACAUAUUUGAAGUGCUUCAUUUUUAAAUGUCACAUCUCAGAAAGCUGUGGUGGUGUCAAGUAGGGCUAAAAGAUUUAGAAAAAAUAUCUAAUUGCCAUUAUUUUUGACUGAUUGAUCAUUGUAAGAUCAUUGUUCUCAUUUUCAUUGAAAAACAUAAUAAAAUUAAUUAUAAAGAUGUUUUCUUAAGUUAGUAGAAAGCCAGGACUUCUCUGCAGCAUGAUGAUAUUUAAUUUGAAAAAAAUGGUAUUGUGACACACAUUUACCCUUUAACAAAUACUGCCUCCUGCGAUUUGAAAAUUGCAGUAGGCCAUAUUGUGAUUUUGAUAAAAUUUUAAUUAACUGUUCAGCCCUAGUAUCAAGCCAUGCAGAUAGUUUAGGCUUGAUUUUUCCAUGUUUGGAGAUAUUUUCCUCCACCCUUGUACAAUAUAGCAAUAAAUCAUAACAGAAACAUGAAAUUUAUAAUCAACGCAUAAAUAAAUAAAACACAGUGAACACUUCUAGCUGGAACUUCUUUUUUGAAGACGUACCGUAGUGUUUAAGAAAUCUGUUCCUUUUUUGAUAACCUCGGUGUUCUUCAACGGUAAUUUAACAACAUAAAUUAUGGUAGGCUGUUAAAGAGUAAGUUAUCGAUCUUGCAAGCGGAAUGUCUCUUAUUACUACAUUACCCAUGAGCCUCUGCAUCUAGUGCUAUGGAGGGGAUUCAACCAGUUUAAUGUUCCAACUGCCAAAAAUUAAUGGGCUUUUACUUUCUAAACACUGCCUGCCUAAAAUAACCCCUCUCACUUUGCUACUCUUUGGUGUCUUCCAAGCUUCCUGUAAAAUACAGGGGAUUAUGGGAGUUUGAGUUCUCUGUGUCACACCCAGCACCCAAAAAUGUAUCAGACUGAUAAUAUCUGUAUGCAAAUCACACAUCAGUGACUAACUGUAUCAGGUCAGGUUGAUUUAUUUUUACAGAUGUAAGAUAAUUUUAUUAAAAACAUGUUUUUCAACAGCAUUUCAGGGUUUUGGUUUGUGUUCACAGGAAUCUGUACUUAACUGUAUUGUACAUUUUUGGAUCAGUUUUCAGUUGAACAGUUUGUCUUUUCUUUCAGACUUUGCCAGCCCUCCACAUUGUUUGACUGACAGCUUGCGACUGGUAUUCUCAGUCCGCUGAAUGAUUGGACUGACUGUAUGACUGAUUUAAUAAAUGAAUGAGCGCAUGUUUCAGUGUGUGUGUGGAAGAGAGAGUGAAAAGACUGACAGGACAAACGUGUCCUGACAUGAAACUGUAAACACCAUCAGCUCUAAAACUGCUGGAGCUGACAGUGUGCGUGAAAACUAUUGAUCUGUGUUUCAUCUGCAAUAAAUAAUAUUUAACGUCAA